GGAACAAAGGAGGCGAGCGCAGCUGCACGCGCAGGGAGGCCCACAGCGUCCCGGGCCCCUCCUCCCCCGCCGCCGCCGGGGCACACCGCACCUGAACCCCACUCCCCAGGACGCCCCAUUGUUCUCCCUCCGCUUUCCUGCCCGGAGGCAGCCACACCGUGUCUUUGUAGGGGGCCAGGAAACAGCUGUGGGCCAGAGGAAUGGAGGGGCUGUGGGUGAACACCAGGACAGCCGAGAUUCGACUCUACCCACAGACCAGCAAAGCCAAGGACAGAGAGGUCUUCAGGGAAUACAUGGCUAUGGUGGGUUUGAAGACUCCCAUUAGAGAGUGGAUAUUAAUUGCCCUCCUUUUGAAUACGGUCUGGACUUAGUGAUUUGAUUGUAACAAAUAGAAUACAGCAGAUGUGAUGCUAUGUGACUUCCAAACCUAGGUCAUAAAAGGAGAUAAAGUUUUCACCUGGCUCUCCCUUGGGACACUCACCCUUGGAACCCAGCUGCCAUAUUGUGAGGAAGCUCAAGCUACAGGGAAGGCCAUGUGUAGGUGUUUGGGCUGAUGGUGCCAGCUGAGGACCCGGUCUACUGCCAGUGCAACUUAUACCAGGCAUGUGAGUUGGGGAGCUUUUGAAAGAACUCCAGCCACAGUCACUGACUGACCAUGCUGCCUGAGAGACCUGGGGAGAAAACCUAGCUGAGCCAAGUCAGGCCCCGGAAACAUAAAUAACCAGCACCUCUGCCUGCUUUCCUUACUCAAAUCUUUGAUGAGACCAUCUUUUCAGAAGAGGCAGGUGCAGCACCUCUGGAACCCGCAUUAACUCUCCCAGCAGACAAACGGACACAUUUCUUUCACAAGAGCCACCUCCCUUCUAAUUGAGAAGUCUGUUGCUCUUGGUGUUCUCCGGCCUGCCACGCCUACA
rnacentral:lncRNA from 1 species